GACGAACGCUGGCGGCGUGCUUAACACAUGCAAGUCGAACGGAAAGGCCCAGCUUGCUGGGUACUCGAGUGGCGAACGGGUGAGUAACACGUGGGUGAUCUGCCCUGCACUCUGGGAUAAGCCUGGGAAACUGGGUCUAAUACCGGAUAUGACCGACUGUCGCAUGGUGGUUGGUGGAAAGCUUUUGCGGUGUGGGAUGGGCCCGCGGCCUAUCAGCUUGUUGGUGGGGUAAUGGCCUACCAAGGCGACGACGGGUAGCCGACCUGAGAGGGUGAUCGGCCACACUGGGACUGAGACACGGCCCAGACUCCUACGGGAGGCAGCAGUGGGGAAUAUUGCAAAAUGGGCGCAAGCCUGAUGCAGCGACGCCGCGUGAGGGAUGACGGCCUUCGGGUUGUAAACCUCUUUCACCAGGGACGAAGCGUGAGUGACGGUACCUGGAGAAGAAGCACCGGCCAACUACGUG
rnacentral:rRNA from 1 species